UUUUGUUUGAGGCCUAGGACCUCUUAAAACUAAAAAGAUUCCAAUUUGAAAUAAAUAUUAAAAACAGGUCCUUUGUACCGGGGGAGAGCAGUAAAACAAGUGUAUUUAAAACAGUGAGUAAAACCCAGUUGAGGAAUAACAAUUUA